CUCAGAGUAGGGCUGGCCAGGAGCUUGCUAGGUCAGGGCAGAGAGGUCAAGCCCUUGGAGGCAGGUGAGGGAGAGGUGGAGUCAUGAAUAGUGGCAUCUGCUCCUCGAGCCCUGUUGCUGCCUCUGGCCUGUGUCAGGGCAGGACCUGGUCUCCUGAGCGCCUGUCUCCUUUUUUCCUUCCUCUUCUCCCUCUGCUUAGGAUGUGCCCGAUAUUCCAGAUCUCCAACGUUACAGGCGAGAACCUAGAUCUGCUGAAGAUGUUCCUCAACCUCCUCUCCCCCCGCACCAGCUACAGGGAGGAGGAGCCUGCUGAGUUUCAGAUUGAUGACACCUACUCCGUCCCGGGUGUGGGGACAGUGGUUUCGGGGACGACACUGAGAGGCCUGAUCAAGCUGAAUGACACGCUGCUGCUGGGCCCAGACCCCUUGGGUAACUUCCUGUCCAUUGCUGUCAAAUCCAUCCAUCGCAAGCGCAU
rnacentral:sRNA from 1 species